GCACAGCCAAAACUCUCCAGGAUCCGUUCUGUGAGGAGGAAGUUGCAUUGCAUUGUGAUUGUCAAAUCAGCUUUAUACUUUUUGAAUUAUAUUUUUAUGGGUAAACACCCGAAUCUGAAAUAAUUCUGAUUAUAAGAUCUGGAUAUUCUCCAUAGCAGUCCACCAAAAUAUGGAUGUAUAACUGCCAGUAUCUUUAAAAAGAACUUCAAUCAAUAGUUUUUAUAAGGAACUCCCUAAAUAGAGUUCUUUUAAUUAUUUUUAAGGCAGCCUGUGGAAAUUUCCAUCUAUAAUAAGCCCCCUCCAGGAGCUAAUAUAGGAGAUUUUACUAUCCUUAUAUUUAAGGUAUGCUCCUAUAUCUUUAGAAUUAAUCACUGCACUUUAUAGCUACUUAAGUAAGAAUAAAUCAAGUAGGUUAAACACAUCUAUUAAAUAUAUACUCUAUCCACAAUUUUAGGUUGUGAUUUUCUACAUUUAAACUCACUUAUGACAAGUAAACCUGUCAUCUAUAUUUGGUAGGUACACACCUUACUUUUUCAAUUUCUCAUACCAUCUAUAUACCAUUCUUCAUAAAUUCUGGACAUCAGUCCUUUGAAAAUAAUUUUUUCAUAAAUUUUAAAACAAUUUUUUCAUCCCCAAACAAGUUACCCCUGAUGAAGUCGAUAAGACGAAACGCGUUGGUUUGUCAGUCAGAAGUUUCCUACUUAGUUUGUGAAGAUACUCCCUUGUGAGCUCACACCUUAAAAAGGUGAGGGAGUAUCUAGAGUUCAAAUUAUUCAACAAAAGCAGUGGUUGUCUUUUUUACUGACAUUUAUAUUUACUAUCUGUAUACUCAUUACAUGAUGAACUAUGUAAAAAUUGCAUUUGUUUAAAUGAAUGUUAUUAAAAUAAUCUUUUAUUAAUUGGCCUUGGGCCUCUUGUUUGGGUGACCAUUUGGUGAGGGGUGUCCGUUACAGGUUCCCGGUCACAAACUUUCUCCAAUAUCCAACUUACACCUAUGGAAACAACAUUGGAAGAAUUACC